GUGAAUAUCAAACAGGGAAAUUAGGUUGGCAUUUAACGAAUAAUUUUGAUAAGUAUUCUUAAAAAUGUUAUCUAUAGGGAUACUUCUGGCCAAGAUACUUCUUUAAAAAUCACAAAGUCCUGCAUUGAAAAAAAAAUUUUUUUUUUCCCAGAAGAUUCCUCUUCAUGGUUUCAGGGCUUCAGAAAUGUAGAGGGAAUUUACAUGAUUUGGUGAGUCUGUGGUCUUAACAUCCUCAAUUUCUGCUUACUACUGUGCUUAACCUGUGCUUUAGGGCCUGGAAUUUGGGGAGUUGAGGCUUCAGGCACAGUAAGAAGUUAGAACUGGGGCUCUGGUAGAUGCAGGGGAAGCAUGAUCCGUGAACCUGGUGGAAACAGUCACCAAGGGAUGUUGGAAGCAAUUAAGUGAUGCCCGAUUCAGCUUAUUUUCUUUUUACCUCUACUGAUAGUUAACUGCCAAAAAUAUUUAUGGAGAGUGGACUAGAGAUAUUUUAGAGUCAUGGCAUAUGCACCCGUGAAGUUGACUUUCUAGGUGGAUUGGUUGAUUCCCUUACCCUUAAGCUAUCAACGUGAUAUCGUAGGAAACCAUGGCAGCUCUGUAUUAUGUAUUAAAGAUACUUGAGUCAGUUGAAUAUUUGUUUUAAAAACAUUUAUAUCAUUCUAGUUGUGAAAAUUAGGAGGAAUAACAGAUUUGGAGAUAAGAACAUAGAGUUGUCCUUAGGUCAAGUAGUCUUCAAGCAGAAGCUUCUAGACACUGAGGGACAAUACUCCCUUUGUGCAGAGCUGUCAUUUUGAGAAUGCUGAAAAGUGGAGUGCAUUUGAAGCUCCUAUUUUUCUCCAAAAUAAGAAUGUUAGUUUUAUGUAAAAUACAGUUAAGUUUUCAUUCUGUUUUUAAAAUGUUGCCUCAUUUUGGAGUGUGGGGGAAAAAACAGGAAGAUAUGGUCUGAAGACCACAUAUGACCCAUCUUUCUAAUCAGAGGUCUAAUCUUUAGUUUACACAAAGCAAAGCAUCAGGACCAUUCCAUCUCUGACAAAAGAAGCUUUUCAGAACCUCUCAUUCCCACCCAGGAAGAGGUGUGUAAUGGGAGCUACCCCCACAGGGCAAACACCACUCAUAUCCUCAACAUCACUCUUUCAAGGCAACUUGGUUUUCUGUUCUCAAUUGCAAUUUUCUACUUGUUAUCUUGCCCAGGAGAUGCUGCAACAUUUGAAAAGGAAGCCCAGAUUUGGGGGCAGAGGGGUUAUGGAUCUACUCCAUAAAAGUUGCAUGGAAUUGAAUGGAAUUUAAUAAUUCUUGCUAAAUUUUGUGGAAUCACUAUGUGAUGUUAGGCAAAUUUCUUUACAGAUGGGAGAAGCGAGGGUCAUGAGUAAAGUAAGGAAAUUCUAUACCUUGCAAGAUUUUUUUCAGGAGGAAAAGUGUGCAUACGGAAACACUUUUGAAAGUCAACAUUUCUACUUAAUUGCUCACCCUCUAUAUGGGUAUAGAAUUUCAGAAUGACAUAUAUAGAGAGAUUAAUGUUUUAGUGAUUGCAGGACAUUACUUUAUUAAUAAAGAGUAUGUUCAUAAAAAUAGGCAUCUGUUAUAUAGAGCUGUUCAUUUUAAAGAAUAGCUAUAAACAUUUUUUUCCACCUUGAAUUGGCCUAUGUGCUCUAACGCUUGCCCCCACUCUGUGGCAGAACAUAGAUCACAAGAUUAGCAGGUAACUUAAGGUCUCCAAGUUUCUGCCUUCUGGGUCCUACUUCUUUUAAUACUAAUUACAAUUAUAGUUCCAACAACGAUGCUGAAAAAACUCUGGCUACUCCAAUGAUUCUGAGGGGCAUCAAGCACUCUCUUGGUCACCUCUCACUCAAGACCAUGGCUCCCACACCACUCUGCUCAUCACCUCUGUACUUACCCCUGUUCCUCUAUGCCCCUGUCUUCUUCAAGCCAAGGGUGAACUCUGCCCUCCCUUCAUCCUCCAAGGAGAAUGCUGGGCUGAGGUUAGUCUGUAGUCAUAAUUAUCCCUUUGUUAAUUCUCUUCACAAUAUAAAAAAUAGAAACUCACAGUGCAUAAUGGACUCACUGCCUUUUAAGUUUGCAGACUUUUUCUCCUCUGACACCCACUCUCUACUAAGCCCCAAAUUGGUUAAUAUUCCUGCUUAUGCAGGUUUCCCACAGUAAAGCCAUUGAGACUGUGAGGUAUUUAUGCUCAUGAAUGCAGAAAUAACUAGUUUUUAAAAUAGUAAAUGUUUCCUUUGGUAAUUUUCUUCCAGUUUAUAGACUUUUUGUUUUAUUUAGAACAGAGUCAAAAAGGAAUUACCUGGAUAAUUAUCCUGUCUCUGGUGCCUUUGGUUUUGCAUGUUCCUUAUUAAGUCAAUAAGUUGCAUCCAUUUCAGUGGAGAUAGGUGUCUCAUGGGGAAUUUGGGCUUUGUUCCCUGGGUGUUGAGUAGAGGUGUAUCAAGCAGCUAACCCCACACAGCUGCUGGGCUUGUAAACAGACUUGAAUCUUCUGGAUAUUCAUUUGCAAAAUUUAUCAGCAACCUUUCUAAAUGCUCCCACAUUUCCAUCUAACUAUCCUACUUUUAACAAGUUUAUCCUGAGUUAAAUGGUCAACAAUAUAACAAGCUAUAUACACGCACAUGCAUUGUAGCACACUGAAAAAAUUUAAAUCUGGCACUAAUACACAAAAUGAUCAAAUUUAUCUUGCAUUGAAAAAUAGCUGGAAUUAAAUAAACCCAGACUUUAAAAUGGAUACCUUUAGAGAGAGUUUGCCCCCUCUGUCUGGACUUGUUUUAGUCCUUGUACUGUUUUCUUUUUCCUUGAGCUUUUGUCUAUGGUGCUACUUCUUUGUUCUUUAUAGGCCAUUUUAUUUUAAUCCUUGUUAAAUUUGUAAAAAAAACUUUUUCUAGAUUUUCUGGGACAAACCUGUGUUACUUACAGUACUUUUAUUACUUAUGGUAAUUUAAAAUUAUACAUUAAGAUGCCAUGGUCACAGGACUUCUUAGAAGACUUUGCUCUUAUUGACAGAAUUAGAUCCAGGAAAAAUUUAGAUGUAGUUAUUUCCACAUUUUAUAGACCAGGAAACUGGAAUCCAAGUAGUUAGGGACAAGAAACAGUUUCAUGUACACCACUUACGAUGACACAGCUAACUAGUGGCAGAGGUAGGUCUAGGCUCCAAGUAGCUCUCUUACUCCAUAACCUUUCUGAGAAGACCGAGUGUCCUGGGAGGCUGAGAUAUAGCUCAUGUCCCUUCCUCUGGUUGAUAAUUGCCUUUUGCCCCUGAUGAAGUUAGGGGAUUUGGUCAUAGCAGACACCAUUAUUGAAGGUAAGGUUUUUAAGGGUGAUACUGAGCAAGAGUUUCACCAAAUCUACACCUUUGAUUGUUUGUACUAAUCCGCAGACUAGUCCUGCUUAUUUGUUCCUCCUGUCCCUCAGCUGGCCGGAAGUAAACAAAAUCAGAAAUUCUGGGCAAGUCUAGUUUGUCCCCCAGAAGCAACCUCUGACCUGAUACAAUGACGGUUGUGACUAAAUUAGGGUUCAAAUUAUAGAACAGAGGGACACUACAUACUGCUCAAGAAUGACAUUUUAGUUUCUAUUUUGGAAAUGUGCAAAAGUCAAGUCCCAACAGAAAACACCUGGCAUACCCAAAAUUGUACAAAGGGGAACACAAAAGAUAGUGCAUUUCCCCAGAACUGGGAGCAGCUGAUUUGAUAGCAAAUAUAAGCUUGAAGGGACAAGGAGAGGGUGCAGUUCCCAAAACCCAGAAGCAGAGAGUCAUGUAAAAUCUGAUGCCUUAUAGGGAGAAUGACUUUUAGUUGAAGGACACAGACCAAGAAGACCUUACAAGGAAAGAGCUGGAAGAAUAAAUACGUGCAUUUGCCCUUUCCUCUCUCUGGUCUCCACCUCAACUGGAGGCCAGAGGGAAGACUUUAGAAGGAACCUACUCAGGUAAGCAUCCCAGGGCAGAGACAGGAGGCUGGGUUCUGAUUCUGGAGGAGCAGUCAGGAGAUAAGAGCAAAAACAAUGUCAGGGUAUUGGCUACUUAAAAAAAUAAUGUUCUACAGUUCUGUAGUUAGGUAGGCUGAAAAUAUAUUUCAAGCUGUUGCACUAAUGGCCCCUAAACCUUGGUUGUAGUUUCAUAGGACCAUGGUUCAUGUUUUUCUUCUUUCAAUUCCCUUUUCUAGUACUGUUUUAAAAUGUCCUUAGUCUAGGAUAAGUAUAAAUUAUCCCAGAUUUUAGCGAGGCACAAAAGGAAGGCCUUACAAUGUUGUUGUAUCCCUUUUCCUUUGCCAUCGCUCUGGGUUUAACCAUCAUCUCUUUGGCUGUUAUUUUCCAUUGUUAACAGUUAGUAGGAAUCAGGCCAACAAUCCUAAAGAGCCAGGAAUUCCUGGCCUGGUUGAACAGCCUUUGUCCCUGCUUUGGAGCACCUGAAUCGGCCAUAAGAAUUUAUUGCUAUUUGUAGAUGAAGAAGUAUUUCUACACUGAAUGCAUUUUUAAUGCUGUUUGUUGGAAGAAAGAUAUGAAAGGGGGAGUGACUAAGAAAGGUAUUCUGUCUCUACUGAUGAGAGAGCCAACACUGCUAAUGACACAGAAGAAAACAAGGCCCUUUCAAAACACCCAGACAGUAUAGGAAAUGAAGCAGAACUGUGGUAACACAUGACGAGCAUCCUUAAUAUCCAGUGACUUCACUUACUCUUUCUUUACUGCAAUUCCAGCUAUGGCUCAUCAUGGCCCAGUAAUUCUACCAUUGGAAAGACUUUCCAACUAUCAUUGGAAAGACUGGCAAGACUUGUCUUUGACAAGAUUACAUUUACUCUUCAAGUCCUAACCAUCACUCACUGACUCCCUACCUGCAUCAAGAUUAUGAAUGCCUGGAUGCCAAGGAUUCCAAUUCAAACUUAGAACUUUCUCAUUCAUUGACAUCCCUGCUGCAAUCAGCCACAGUGAGACUCCCAUCAAGAUCUUGGAAGAAAUUAUCACUAAGUGUUGAUUCAAAAUCUGAUCAACUAAUGAUCUGAUCAACAUAGAAGCAGAAAUUACCUUAGUGAAAAGGUGAAAAACCAGGGCAAUUGAUAUGCUAAGGUAUUGUACUCCAGUUUUCUAUGAAUAGUUAAUAUCAGUUUAACCAACUAAAUUUAGUAUGAUGAGUCUUAGGGACUCCAAAGUCUAAAAAUGUCAGUAUCUUCAAGAUUGCCUAGAGCAAAGGGCCCUAUCAACUCAAGAAUUGACAUCUCUGAGGCUGGGUUAUACCUUCCAACACCAGGUUUGCAUAGCUGAGUGACAUUAGCUAUGAAGAUAAUUUGAUUCACUCUUCUGGCUCAGUUGUCAUAUUGUUAAUCAGCCUUAUAAUAAAUUUAUAUUUCCACAUAAAUUUUUACACAAAGACAGAAUGGAUAGCACAGUUGACUUGAUCGCUUCCUUUUAAUUUUAAUCAGUUUAUAAGAAAGAAAAAAAUCUAAUCAGGAUUUUUGUUACUUAAUCAAGUUUUGACCCUAUAGUUUAUAGAAGAAAAUCAACCUUGAAUUGUAUGUUAAUGCUACCUGGUCCAAUUUUCUCUAAGUGUUUGCUCCAAUGUUAUGACAGGUAUUCAUCAUAAACUAUAAAGUAUUGACAUCAUUAUAAACAAAAACUUUGUCAGUAGAAAAUGCUCAGAACUACUAUCGUCUCCUUACAGUGAUGAGGAGGGACAGAUUGAAAGACUAAAGUCAACAAAUUCAGGGUGGCAGACAACAAUGAACUUGGGUCCUUCAAUGCUGGUGAGCCUCUAAAUUAAUCUUGGAGCCACCUGUAUGAGUCAGGGUUGGGUCAGAGAGGCACACUGCUGAGAAUGCUAGAAAAAAGAUUUAUUAUAUAGAAUCAACCUUACACAAGUCUGGGCAUUUGUAAAGAAGUCCAUGUCAGGCUGUCCCCUCCACAUCUGGGGAUGUACCUUAGGUAGCUGUAGGUCAACUGUGCUAGUGGUCAGCAAGGAGAGCUGGUUGUGGAGUGACGAUGAACUGAAAUCCCUAAGAAGAAACUGGAAUUCAUGCCUCUCAGGGCCUCCAAAGGCAAUGACAGGGGUGACCUGCAAGAGAAGCUGGUGCCUGGUACCAUGGAGCCACACAUACACACACCUAGCUAGGACUCUGAAGCUGAAGGAGGGAGUUUCAGUGCCAGCUCACUCUUUUGGCCUGGGAUAGUAUUUGCCAGCUAUCACAGUGCCUGGGGCCAUACCAUGAGCUUAACAGCAUAAAAUGAACAGCUGCAUCUCUACUGCUCCCUCUCAAAUGUGGUGAAAAUUUCUCUUGUGACCAACUCCAGUCCAGAACAGAGAAAGGAAAUCCAGGAAAUGUACCUCUCGCUUAGCUACAUUGGCACAAUACAAAGCCAGCAUUCCCCCUAACACUAAACUGAUCAUCUUACAUGAGAAGCUGUUUCAGUGUUGAAAAAUGCACAGGCAUGUAGUCCACCCAGGUAUAGAUUAGGAGGAUUCUUAUCUACAAGUUCUAAGUACCUGUGACUAUAUGUAAAUUACAGUGUUAAGAGAAAAGUUGAUCAACUCCCACCAUUAGUGGCUAAAAAUAUACUUUUUGUUGGAGGAGUCCAGCAAAACUCAUUAAGUUCAGUAAUAACAAUUUACUAACAUACCCUAGGCCUCAUCGUCCAUGUCUUCCAUAAAUAUUUUGCAUUAAAAGGCAAUAGGUAUUUUUUUAACUUGAGAAUUUAAAAGACUCUUUUAUCUUUUAUGUAAAAUGUUUACUUGUAUUUGAGGACCAAAAAAAUCCCCAUUAACCUGGGAAGCAAGGAUACUCUAUUACAUUUUCUAAUCACCUUGUUUAAACUGCUUUUCACACCACAUAAACAUGCUUUUUUUAAUGCUUGUUUCAAAUGCAACUUAAGUUUUCAGCAAUCAAAUGGUACCAUCCUUGGACUUGUCCAACUUCUGUUUUUCAUAAGCAAGGACUGCUUAUUCUUCAUGAGCCUGAAAAACAAUAUGAGUGUGUUCUGUGAAUUCCUGUGACUUUCAUCAGUGGCACACACACCCAGAACCAAGCCCAGUCCCUUCCAGAGUAAGCAGACCUCAGCCAACUCCUCAUUAGCUUCAAAGGGAUACGGGGAAUUGAGGCAAUUAUGUGCAUUACACAAAGCAGACACAGGUAAUUCAUCUGAAGGACGUGCUUGGGUACUCUCAAUUUUCUGCCUGCCAAGCCUUGCCAGUGAAGGCAGCGCCCUCUACAAAAGAAAAGGAAAGGCUGUGGCCAUAUUACCACUGGCUCCAUAGCUGGGACACACAAUUCUAUCAGAAAACGUUUUCACUUGGUUUAUGACAGUUGAGAGAUUUUCAGGCUUUCCUUCUAUAAAUGGGAAACAAUUAGUCAUUGCACUGCCAAGGAUGGUUUUCCUAUUCAUCUUGGGCCUCUCAGAAGCAAUUUCUGCUUCACUCAUUUUAUUCUUUGUUGGAAACAACUGUGACAAAGUCGAAUACAUUACAUCUGUUUUGCAGCCCUUUUGACCUCCUACAGCUGAGUACAAAUGUAGCCUGUGUGAGGCAUUUCCCCAAACAAAACUAUUAUGUGCAGUUGAGGGGCAGGCAUAUUGGUUUAUAUGCACCCCAAACCAAUGCCAUGACCCUCUCAAAUUGUGGCCAGAGUUCAAACCACUCAAGUGGACCUUUGCACAUAGGCCUUAUCCCUAAGACAACUAUUCAAGCAUCAAUAAGAAAUUUCUGGAGUGUGCCAAUGACCCAUGCUUCUCAUAUUUAGAUCUAAACCUAUUCAGUACAACCAACUUUUAGAUUCUCCUUCAAAAGAGAUUAUUUUGACCUCCUUCCAGGUAGUAUUUAUUAUGGACAACCCUAUUUACUUAUCCUGCAGAGUUAUUAGUAAUUCAUUUAUAAGAAGACCAGGCAGGUACCAAAUUUUUAAAAAUGAAAUGGUGGCUCUCUGUGCUAGAGACUGCUAAGUGUUUUAUAGGCAUUCCAUAAAGGACAGCUAAUGUCUUAUCUAAUGUUCUUUAGUUCAUUUCUCCUAAAGCUAGACCUUAUUUAAACACCCUGUGUUCCUGGAAAAUCUAAUAAGAAAGCUGAGCUUCCUAUGGUCUCAAUGUUAGUAUAACCCCAAAAUUCAUAUGUUGAAAUCUCAAUCCCCAUAGUGAUGGUGUUAGGAGGUGGGGCUUUAAGUAUGAGGGUGGAGUUCUCAUGAAUGGAAUCAGUGCCUUAUAAAAAAAAAUCCCCAGAGAGCUCCCCCCCCCAACCCCCACUCUUUCACUAUGUGAGGACACAUUGAGAAAAGGGCUAUGAGGAAGUGGCCCUCACCAGAUAUGGAAUCUGCCAGCACCAUGAUCCUGGACCUCCCAGCCUAAAGAACUGUGAGAAAUGUUUGUUGUUUAUAAGCCACCCAGGUUCUGGCAUUCUAUUAUAGUAACCUGAACACACCUGGACAAGCCCACUGUUCAAUGGUCUUUGUCAUGCUGCCACUUUGCUGGUAAAGUUAGGGUAGUGCCCGUACCAUGGGAUCAAAAUAGUAGUGUCAUAACCCACAGAUAUGGAAAUAUCCUUUCUCCUUGCUUUAGGACAGAACCAGGAGUAAAGCUAGAAAAGACAAGUGCAUUUAUUCUCCACUGUCUCAACUUUAAACCUCACCCCCCAGGUCUCCAUACUGAUUCAGUAUAAAGUCAUGUACUUGUCUACCUAGAAAGACUUCUCUUGGAGUUUCAAGCAUACCCAUCUUUCAAACUUUUUAAAUUAUCUUUGUUCUCUGGACUUCUGACUGUUCUAUAAAAGUGAAUCUAGGACCUGGAAUUCAAAGUCUACAAGUUCACCUGGAAUUAAGAAUUUGAGAAGUAUAAAUACAAUGUGCAUUCCACCCAAAUGCUUAGCACUUCAUAUUACCUGGACAAGGAGAAUUUAGUAAAUAGGGAAGACUUUAAAGGGAAGGGGAUGGGAAACAAAGAGAUUUCUUGUUCUACUCGUUGUAUGACAUGAACCCUAAACACACACACUUUAAGAAUUAGAGUUGAAUAUCUGACAUACCUUUUUUGUAAACUCUUUUGCUUUCAACUUGAGUUUAUUGACUUGAGAUUCUGCUAUCUCUGCCCUUUCCUUAGCUUCGUUCAACUCGUGUUGCUGCUUCUUAUACUUGGAAAAAUAUUGAUUGGCUUGUGCUUCCUAUAAAAAUAAAAAAAAAUGAAAAAAAUAUCCCUGUGCUUACAUAGUCAUUUUCUCUGCUUUGACAUGAGAAAGUUGAAAAAUGUGUGAAAGGAAUAUAAACUUCUGAGUGUUGAAUGGAAUAUAUUUUGGUAUGAUAUGAUAUAUAAGGAUUCAGACUUUCUAGCAGGCAUGAUAUCCAUUUUUAUAAGCAUUGUUUUCUAGAAAUUUAGAACCUGCUCAGCACGUUCCACUAAUUGGAUGUAGUAUGGUUUUCACGGGCAUCUUAUGUGUUAGAAAAACCACAAUUGUUUUGCAAACAGCUAAACAUCCUAGUUUACCUCUGAGUGAAGGGGGCUUAUCUUUAAAAUUAUAUGUCAACAAGUAAUUAUUACAUAUAGCAGUUUUUAGGCAAAAUUAUUGGAAUAAUUCAAAACCCCUGAAGAGGUAUUAUUAGAUAUAUAUUAUUAGAUAUAAGCCAAUAUAUACAUUACUUAUGAAUUACAUUCUAUGUAGCUAUCAGUUGGCAACCAGCAUUGGCAAGUACAUUUCAAAUGAUGACAGUUUUGGCCAGAGUUAUGUCGAGGCUGUGAAACCACUCACCCAAGGAUUUUUAGGGUGAGGAAGGCCCCAGGUGACUAUCUGGCCAAAAAUUUGCCAUCCCUAUAUGACAUCAUGUUUUUACUUGACUCAUUUUUUUGCAAUGCACAUAUCUGAGCGUAACCACAAGGUUGAUGGUGAAAGCUCUGGCUCCCCGAAGGAAAAAGUAACAAUUUUUUGAGCAUGGGUGAUAAUUCUAGUCUGAGAAAAACUAGAAAAUGAACAGACUUUAAGCUGAGCUGGUCCUCUCUGACAAAGUGCUUACCUAUCUCCAUAAAUCA